CCUACGGGAGGCAGCAGUAGGGAAUUUUCGUCAAUGGGCGCAAGCCUGAACGAGCGAUGCCGCGUGAGUGAAGAAGGCCUUCGGGUCGUAAAGCUCUGUUGCGGGGGAAAAAAGGCAGCAUCAGGAAAUGGGUGCUGACUGAUGGUGCCCCGCCAGAAAGUCACGGCUAACUACGUGCCAGCAGCCGCGGUAAUACGUAGGUGGCGAGCGUUAUCCGGAAGGAUUGGGCGUAAAGGGUGCGCAGGCGGUCCUGCAAGUCUGGAGUGAAACGCAUGAGCUCAACUCAUGCAUGGCUUUGGAAACUGGAGGACUGGAGAGCAGGAGAGGGCGGUGGAACUCCAUGUGUAGCGGUAAAAUGCGUAGAUAUAUGGAAGAACACCAGUGGCGAAGGCGGCCGCCUGGCCUGUUGCUGACGCUGAGGCACGAAAGCGUGGGGAGCAAAUAUGAUUAGAUACCCGAGUAGUC
rnacentral:rRNA from 1 species